AAGUAAACGAAAUUAUUAAAUUUACAAAAUUACUUACAUUUACCAUUUUAAAAUUGUAUUUAUUUCUUUUGAAACAACUGUUUGACAGCAAAAUGCUUUUCACCUCAAUUGGUGACUUUUUAAAGCUUUUUUCUUAUGAGGUUCGAGCCAGAAUAGACUCACAAAAUAUACGUCACAAGAAACCUCACAAAUUUUUCCUCCCAACUCAGUUAUGAGGUUUUUUCAGAAUAGGGCUGCUAUUCUCAUGCCCUCACAAAAAUCACCACACUCACUACUGUGAGGUUUUUGGAUUUUGUGAUGAUUACCUUAUGCUGGAGAAAAUUCAAAAGCUCAAAUGCUCACAAUUUUCUCAAAUAUCUGUGACGUGUGAAAGCAGCAAUCACAAUUCAAAAAUAUUUGUGUUUGUUUUGGUUUUUAGCAAUAUUUGGAAACAAAUGUGUAAAUAUUUGGGUGCUAUAACGAGCAUGGAGGAAUUGUUCUUUGUGUGUGCGGCUAUUAUUGAGGAGCAGGAGGAAUCAGUGAGUAGGAGGAAAAUUUUGAAGAGUUUGCGAGACACAAGCGAUCCGUUUACCAUGCAAGACACAUCAUUUAUAAAUACAUUUCGAUUUCAAAAGUCGCUAUGUAAAGUUCUUAUAGAUGAAUUAGUGCCGCAUGAUGUGCAGAAGUCGAAUAUUCCUUUUACUCUGCGAUUCCUGGCGUGCUUGUACUUUUACGGGCAUGGCUCUUACCAAAAAUGCGUUGGGAAUAGUUAUAUACUUUCUAUGAGCCAGUCCUCUGUGUCUAGAGCUCUACAUUUUGUAUCUAAAAUAAUUUAUUUCCCUUCAAGCGCGCAGGAUGUUUCAGAUACAAAGAGAGGAUUUUACAUGAAAUUUGGGAUCAAGGGCACAAUCGGCGCAAUCGAUUGUACUCAUAUUGGAAUUGUUUCACCCCCGAGCACAGACGCCUCCACUCCACUCUCACUUUUUAUGAAUCGGAAUCGGAUUUUACAGCCUUAAUGUAGAAGCAGUUUGUGAUCAUCGACUACUGUUCACCGCUGUCAACGCGAGAUAUCCCGGGUCUUGUCAUGAUUCUGGUAUUUGGACUACAUCCCCAACACGUCUGCACCUCAUAAGUACCUAUAACAUACAAAGUGAUUCGUGGUUGUUAGGUGACCAAGGAUAUCCAUUGGAGCCAUGGCUGUUAACGUCAGUCGCUGAACCUGUAAAUGCAAGGGAAGUGCGUUACAAUAAGUUACACGCCAAAGCAAAGCCUCUCAAAACACCGCAUUCUUCAUUAUAGCCCUGAAAAAGCGGCUAUGAUUAUUUACGCAUGUACCAUUCUUCACAACAUUUUACUGAAGCAUGGCGUGGCUGCUGACCUUGGUUUCGAAGAAGUUUUAGAAGAAUCACAAGACAUUGACGAAAUUGUUAUCGAAUACCCCAAUUUUAGGGAGGGUGCUAGAGUUAGAGAACGCUAUAUCAUGUCUUUAUAAUAUACAUAUAUCCACAGGCGUUAUGUACUAUAAAUAUAAGUAUUUAUUUUGUUUAUUACUCUUAACAUGUUACUUACUGUCUUUGUA